rnacentral:rRNA from 1 species
UACGAAGGGGGCUAGCGUUGUUCGGAUUUACUGGGCGUAAAGCGCGCGUAGGCGGCUCGUUAAGUCGGGGGUGAAAUCCUGGAGCUCAACUCCAGAACUGCCUUCGAUACUGGCGAUCUCGAGUCCGGAAGAGGUGAGUGGAACUCCUAGUGUAGAGGUGGAAUUCGUAGAUAUUAGGAAGAACACCAGUGGCGAAGGCGGCUCACUGGUCCGGUACUGACGCUGAUGUGCGAAAGCGUGGGGAGCAAACAGG